GCAUCAACUGGACUGGAGUCUGGGUUCUUGGGGCGCCCACUUGAGACCCUAAACUUUGGGGUCCAACAUUGGAGGUCCCACUGAGAUUUUUGGGGUGCUCCCAGACCCCCACUCUGCCAGUUGGAGUCCUUCCAGAGGAUCGAUCCUCCCGGAAAAAAAUCCUCCAAGAAGGCGACAGAGGCGAACUCUCCCGGCCGAGACCGAUCCUCCCGGAAAAAAAUCCUCCAAGAAGGCGACAGAGGCGAACUCUCCCGGCCGAGACCACUCUCCCUGCCGGGAUCCCUUCCUUCACCCAAGCAGCGGCCGGGGCUCCCGCCGUGAUGGGGCUGAGGAGAGAAGAGACACUGGCUAGGCUGCCUGUAAGCAUCAGGGCAGAGCUGGCCAGGAGCCAGCUGGAGCCUCUAGGAGCUCAGAAUGUGGGGAUGGUGGAAAACUAACUGCCCUUCCAGUGUCACAGCUGACAGGUCUGUGGGCCCAGCCAGGGCAUGGAAUCUCCCAUGCUGUUGGAUGGGGCUCCAAAAACCGGCCCUGGGGCUAAAACCUGAUCAGGGUCUGGCUCAAAGAAUGGAAUGUCACUCCCUAUAUGAGGCGAUGAUGUAAAAGUUGACAAUAGAGGCAAAAGAUGCCUAGCUCCCCAGCGUCUGGAGAUCACAGUAACCACACAGAAAACUAUGUGAAAUGCUCUAGAUAUGAAAUAAGGAAGAAUCUUCUGGAUUUCAGGCAAGUGCUGUAGAUUGCUUUGCUCCUGGAUGCUGUGUGGUUUUCUUAUUUCUAAUAUAUUUUUAGGUGAAAUAAAAUUGGACCACUUUCUUCUCCCUUUCCUCUUUACAGGUCCUUUUUAUAUAGGCUGCCAGUAGAUCAUGUAGGCAGGGUGUAAGGUGAUCUGAACACUCCAGAACAUCCUGGUUUUGGUGGGUCUUCCCACUUUAAAUGAUUC